AUGUUUGCUUUGCAUAAAGAAUGUCUUACCCGCCGCUAUCUUCUUGGCCGCCUGGAUUUCCUGCUGUGUCUUUUCGGCUUCGGCCUUGGCGUCUUUCACACUCGCAAGGGCCUUCGCAAGCUCAGUCUCUUUCAUCUUAAGAUCAUGCUCCAAGGACUCGAACUUCUUGCCGAGCUCCUGGAGCUCUUGCCGAGCUCCUGGAGCUCUUGCCGUACCUCGCCCACUCUAACAUCUUGCUUUUCGCGCUCCUUGCGUUCCAAGGCCGCCUUGUCUUCGGCCUCGGACAUCGCUUUCUUCAGAGACGCCACUUCGGUGGUGGCCCCUAUUACAAAGUCACGACGCUUUGUCAUUAGAAUAAUUUUUUCUAUCCUUUAUUAUACGAAAGCGGGGAAUCACAAACCUUUGUUCUCUUCGAGCUGCCUCCUCGUGAGGUCGAGCUCUCCCUGUGCCUGCUCCAGGUCCCAUUUGAGUCCGGCGACCUCAACCGUGCGUACAACAGCGGCAAGCAGCACUGCCUGCUUAUCCACAGGCGCACCUACUAUUAGACUCCUGCAGAUUUUAAUUGACCCUCCGUUUGGCUCUUCUUUCCGAACACCAAACAGAGUAUCAGGGGCUACUACCUAUCGGGUGAUAAUUUUACAUUUAUAUUACUUACCUCAAAGCCCACCAGGAGGCUGGUGCAGGCUUCGGUUAGUCCGCUCUUGGCAGACAGAACCUUCUGAAUCACUGCACUCAUAA
rnacentral:rRNA from 1 species